UGGUGAUCAGAGGACUCAGGCUUU
rnacentral:misc_RNA from 1 species